UACGAAGGGUGCAAGCGUUAGUCGGAAUUACUGGGCGUAAAGCGUGCGUAGGUGGUUUCUUAAGUCCGUUGUGAAAGCCCUGGGCUCAACCUGGGAACUGCAGUGGAUAAUGAGAGGCUAGAGUGUGUCAGAGGAUGGUGGAAUUCCCGGUGUAGCGGUGAAAUGCGUAGAGAUCGGGAGGAACACCAGCGGCGAAGGCGGCGUCCUGGACUGGUACUGACGCUCAGGAGCGAAAGCGUGGGGAGCGAUCCGG
rnacentral:rRNA from 1 species